UACGAGGGGGGCAAGUGUUGUUCGGAAUUACUGGGCGUAAAGGGAGCGUAGGCGGGCUCUUAAGUUGGAUGUUUAAAACCGGGGCCUAACCCCGGCGUGGCAUCCAAAACUGGGAGCCUUGAAUGGGACAGAGGCCAGUGGAAUUAGAGGUGUAGCGGUGGAAUGCGUAGAUAUCUCUAAGAACACCAGUUGCGAAGGCGGCUGGCUGGGUCCACAUUGACGCUGAGGCUCGAAAGCGUGGGGAGCAAACAGG
rnacentral:rRNA from 1 species